rnacentral:rRNA from 1 species
UGGGGAAUAUUGGACAAUGGGCGAAAGCCUGAUCCAGCCAUGCCGCGUGAGUGAUGAAGGCCUUAGGGUUGUAAAGCUCUUUUAGCAGGGAAGAUAAUGACGGUACCUGCAGAAAAAGCCCCGGCUAACUUCGUGCCAGCAGCCGCGGUAAUACGAAGGGGGCUAGCGUUGCUCGGAAUUACUGGGCGUAAAGCGCACGUAGGCGGACUCUUAAGUCGGUGGUGAAAUCCUGGAGCUCAACUCCAGAACUGCCUUCGAUACUGGGAGUCUUGAGUUCGGGAGAGGUUAGUGGAACUGCGAGUGUAGAGGUGAAAUUCGUAGAUAUUCGCAAGAACACCAGUGGCGAAGGCGGCUCACUGGCCCGAUACUGACGCUGAGGUGCGAAAGCGUGGGGAGCAAACA